GUGCCAGCAGCCGCGGUAAUACAGAGACUGCAAGCGUUAUUCGGAUUCACUGGGCGUAAAGGGUGCGCAGGUGGCCAGGUGUGUGAGGCGUGAAAGCCCGGGGCUUAACCCCGGAAUUGCACCUCAAACUACUUGGCUAGAGCAUUGGAGAGGGGAGCAGAAUUCAUGGUGUAGCAGUGAAAUGCGUAGAUAUCAUGAGGAAUACCAGAGGCGAAGGCGGCUCCCUGGACAAUUGCUGACACUCAGGCACGAAAGCGUGGGGAGCAAAAGGGAUUAGAAACCCUUGUAGUCC
rnacentral:rRNA from 1 species